rnacentral:rRNA from 1 species
ACAUGCCUACAACAUAGUGUUAAUGCACCGGAUCCCAUUAGAAAUUUGUAGUUAAGCACGCUCGGGCUAGAGUAGUACCAGGAUGGGUGACCACAUGGGAAGUCCUAGUAUUUUACAUGCC